UACGUAUGGAGCGAGCGUUGUCCGGAAUUAUUGGGCGUAAAGGGUGCGCAGGCGGCUUUACAGGUUGGAUGUGAAAUAUUGUGGCUCAACCACAAACGUGCAUCCAAAACUGCAAAGCUUGAGUUAAGGAGAGGUAAGUGGAAUUCCUGGUGUAGCGGUGGAAUGCGUAGAUAUCAGGAGGAAUACCGGUGGCGAAGGCGACUUACUGGACUUAAACUGACGCUCAGGCACGAAAGCGUGGGGAGCAAACAGGAUUAGAUACCCUGGUAGUC
rnacentral:rRNA from 1 species